rnacentral:rRNA from 1 species
CGUGUAGGCGGUUAUGCAAGUCGGGUGUGAAAGCCCCGGGCUCAACCCGGGAAGUGCAUUCGAUACUGCGUAGCUAGAGUACUGGAGAGGAUGGUGGAACUCUGGGUGUAGAGGUGAAAUUCGUAGAUAUCCAGAAGAACACCGGUGGCGAAGGCGGCCAUCUGGACAGAUACUGACGCUGAGACGCGAAAGCGUGGGGAGCAAACAGGAUUAGAUACCCUGGUAGUCCACGCCGUAAACGAUGGGUGCUAGGUGUCACGGGUAUUGACCCCUGUGGUGCCGAAGCUAACGCAUUAAGCACCCCGCCUGGGAAGUACGGCCGCAAGGCUAAA